GUGGAUCCGCAAAGUCGGCCCGCGGAAUUCAGCUCGGCGCGCGGCUCGGGGCUGGUGCGGUUCGGGAUCCUCUGGACCCGGCCGUGCCGUCGCACCGGGCUCCGCCGUGUGCACUUUCCGCGGGCAGAGCGCCACGAUCGGCUUCGGGGCGGUCAGAAGCCCGGGGGGAAGGUAGGUGUCGGCUUCGGUCGGCACUGUUACAGACCCCCGAGGUGGACCGCCACUGAGGCCGAGGAACGACCGCCGCCUUUAGGCUGCCACGCUUUCUCGGGGAGUUCGACUGGCAGGGACCGGCAACGGUGCCUGCCGACCGCUCCUCGUGACUGGCGGGGCCCGCCGGGGCGGCACUGGGUCUGUGGCGAAUCUGUCGGCAUUCCACCCGACCCGUCUUGAAACACGGACCAAGGAGUCUAACAUGCGCGCGAGUCAUUGGGCUGUACGAAACCCAAAGGCGCAGUGAAAGCGAGGGUCGUCUCGGGCUGACCCAGGUGGGAUCCGCAGCAAUGCGGCGCACCACCGGCCCGUCCCGUCUGCGCUGUCAGUGGGGCGGAGCAUGAGCGUGCACGCUGGGACCCGAAAGAUGGUGAACUAUGCCUGAGUAGAACGAAGCCAGAGGAAACUCUGGUGGAAGUCCGUAGCGAUUCUGACGUGCAAAUCGAUC
rnacentral:rRNA from 1 species